UUAGAUACCCCACUAUGCCUAGCCCUAAACUUUAACUUACACCCCACCCACACGCCAGGGAACUACGAGCGACGCUUGAAACCCAAAGGACUUGACGGUACCCCACAUCCACCUAGAGGAGCCUGUCCUAUAAUUGAUGACCCCCGCUAAACCUUACCACUCUUAGUCUAUCAGCUUGUAUACUUCCGUCUUCAGCUUACCUCGUGAGCGUAAUUCAGUGAGCUUAAUGCCUACUCCGCCAAUACGUCAGGUCAAAGUGCAGCUAAUAUAGUGGAAAGAGAUGGGCUACACUCUCUAAUCUAGAGAAUACGAAAGAUUAUGCUGAAACCAUACCAAAAGGCGGAUUUAGAAGUAAAGAGGAAAUAAAGAGUCCUUUUUAACCUGGCCCUGGGGUGUGUACACACCGCCCGUCACCCUCUUCAAAAACACCAACCAGUACAUAACACAUUUUUUAACAGAGAAGAGGUAAGUCGUAACAUGGUAAGCAUACCGGAAGGUGUGCUUGGAUACAAAAUAUAGCUUAACCAA
rnacentral:rRNA from 1 species